GUUGAUACAGUCCAGUAUGUGGUAUGCAAGAGUGAUUAAUCAUAAGACUCGAGAUAACAACAAGAUGAAACCUUUAUCAUGGCUGGUGUAUCAAAAUUGUAUAGAGAUGGGUUAGUACAGUCCAGUAAGCUGUAUGUAAAGGCAAAAAAUCAUAAAACUUCAGAUAAUAAUCUGAAGAAAUCUAAAUCACGGGAGGUGUAUCAAUAUUGUAUACAGAUGGGUUAGUACAGUCCAGUAAGCUGUAUGGAGAGGCGAAAAAUCAUUAAACUCCAGAUAAUAAUCUGAUGAAAUCUACAUCAUGG